ensembl:lncRNA
CAUGGGAAAUCAAGGCCGCAGUGUUAUUCCUCUUCAUCCCGUGCAUCAUUGGCGUCUUAUUGUGUUCCCGGAGCUCAGUAAGUGAUUAACAAGCAUCAGUAAGCGAUGCUGAAUACAAUGCUUUCCUGCUUUGAAAUUAAAAUGCCGAGUGGACUUAAUGCCGAGUGGACGAGUGAACACAUCACACCUGGGGUGUGCUUAUUUAUGCACACAAGAGUUCUAGGUUCAUCAUAAGCUGUAAUUCUGAAUGAUAGAUUUUUAUUUUAUAUAUUUUCAUCUUUCAUAUUUGUAAACAUUAUCCCGUAUCAUAUCGUGUCAUGCUGUUGUGUAGCUUGCUGUAUAGUGUCAUGUUAUUGUGUAGCUGCUAUAUUUUGUAAUGUUGUUGCUGUAUAGUGUCAUGUUGCUGUAUCGUGUGCUGUAUAGUGUCAUGUUGUUGCUCUAGUGUCAUGUUGUGUAGCUGCUGUAUCGUGUCAUGUUGUUGUGUAGCUGCUGUAUCAUGUCAACUUGUUACUGUAUAGUGUCAUGUUGUUGCUAUAUUGUGUCAUGUAUAGUGUCAUGUAGCUGCUUUAUUGCGUCAUGUUGCUGCUGUAUAGUGUCAUGUAUAGUGUCAUGUUGCUUGUCAUGUUGUUGCUGUAUCAUGUCAUGUUGUGUAGCUGCUGUAUCGUGUCAUGUUGGUGUGUAGCUGCUGUAUCGUGUCAUGUUGCUGUAUAGUGUCAUGUUGUUGCUGUAUCAUGUCAUGUUGUUGUAUAGCUGCUGUAUAGUGUCAUGUUGUUGCUGUAUAGUGUCAAGUUGCUGUAUCAUAUCAUGCUGUUGUUGUAUAGUGUCAUGUUGUUGCUGUAUAGUGUCAUGUAUAGUGUCAUGUGUUGCUGUAUAGUGUCCUGUUGUUGCUGCAUCGUGUCAUGUUGUUGCUGUAUAGUGUCAUGUUGUUGUAUCGUGUCAUGUUGUUGCUGUAUAGUGUCAUGUUGUUGCUGUAUAGUGUCAUGUUAUUGCUGCAUUGUGUCCUGUUGUUGCUGCAUCUUGUCAUGUUGUUGCUGCAUCGUGUCAUGUUGUUGUGUAGCUGCUGUAUCGUGUCAUGUUGUUGUGAAGCCGCUGUAUCGUGUCAUGUUGCUGUGUAGUUGCUGUAUCGUGUCAGGUUGUUGUAUAGUGGCAUGUUAUUGUGUAGCUAUUAUAUUGUGUAAUGUUGUUGCUGUAUAGUGUCAUGUUGUUGCUGUAUCGUGUGCUGUAUAGUGUCAUGUUGUUGUGUAGCUGCUGUGUUGUUGUCAUGUUGUUGCUGUAUAGUGUCAUGUAUAGUGUCAUGUUGUUGCUGCAUCGUGUCAUGUUGCUGUGUAGCUGCUGUAUCGUGUCAUGUUGUGUAGCUGCUGUAUCGUGUCAUGUUGUUGUGUAGCUGCUGUAUUGUGUCAGGUUGUUGUAUAGUGUCAUGCUGUUGCUGUGUCGUGUCAUGUUGUUGGGUAGCUGCUGUAUCGUGUCAUGUUGUUGCUGUAUAGUGUCAUGUUGUUGCAUCGUGUCAUGUUGUUGCUGUAUAGUGUCAUGCUGUUGCUGUAUAGUGUUAUGCUGUUGCUGUAUAGUGUCAUGUUAUUGCUGUAUAGUGUCCUGUUGUUGCUGCAUCUUGUCAUGUUGUUGCUGCAUCGUGUCAUGUUGUUGUGUAACUGCUGUAUCGUGUCAUGUUAUUGUGUAGCUGCUGUAUCAUGUCAUGUUGUUGCUAUAUAGUGUCAUGUCGCUGUAUAAUGUCAUGUUGUUGCUGUACAGUGUCAUGUUGCUGCUCUAUAACGUCAUGUAUAG